rnacentral:rRNA from 1 species
UACGGAGGAUGCAAACGUUGCUCGGAAUCAUUGGGCGUAAAGCGCACGUAGGUGGCUUGUUAAGUCGGGUGUGAAAUCCCUGAGCUCAACCCAGGAAGUGCACUCGAAACUGACGAGCUUGAGUACUGAAGAGGGUCGCGGAAUUCCCGGUGUAGAGGUGAAAUGCGCAGAUAUCGGGAAGAACACCCGUGGCGAAGGCGGCUCUCUGGGACGGUACUGACGCUGAGACGCGAAAGCGUGGGGAGCGAACAGG